rnacentral:rRNA from 1 species
AGGGAGUUUGAUCCUGGCUCAGGAUGAACGCUAGCUACAGGCUUAACACAUGCAAGUCGAGGGGCAGCAUGAAGUUUGCUUGCAAACUUUGAUGGCGACCGGCGCACGGGUGAGUAACGCGUAUCCAACCUUCCCCUUAGUAGAGGAUAGCCCGGCGAAAGUCGGAUUAAUACUCUAUGUUGUAUUUUGAGGACAUCUGACGAAUACCAAAGAUUCAUCGCUAAGGGAUGGGGAUGCGUCUGAUUAGCUUGUUGGCGGGGUAACGGCCCACCAAGGCAACGAUCAGUAGGGGUUCUGAGAGGAAGGUCCCCCACAUUGGUACUGAGACACGGACCAAACUCCUACGGGAGGCAGCAGUGAGGAAUAUUGGUCAAUGGGCGAGAGCCUGAACCAGCCAAGUAGCGUGCAGGACGACUGCCCUAUGGGUUGUAAACUGCUUUUAUGCGGGAAUAAAGUGCGGGACGCGUCCCGUUUUGUAUGUACCGCAUGAAUAAGGACCGGCUAAUUCCGUGCCAGCAGCCGCGGUAAUACGGAAGGUCCGGGCGUUAUCCGGAUUUAUUGGGUUUAAAGGGAGCGCAGGCUGGAUUUUAAGCGUGCUGUGAAAUGUACCGGCUCAACCGGUGACGUGCAGCGCGAACUGGAGUCCUUGAGUGAGUACGAGGUAUGCGGAAUUCGUGGUGUAGCGGUGAAAUGCUUAGAUAUCACGAAGAACCCCGAUUGCGAAGGCAGCGUACCAGUCCUUAACUGACGCUAAAGCUCGAAAGUGCGGGUAUCGAACAGGAUUAGAUACCCUGGUAGUCCCU